rnacentral:misc_RNA from 1 species
UCCGGUUUGGCACCGGCAGUCUUCCUAGAGUCCCCGCCAUUACCCGCUGGCAACUAAGGAUAGGGGUUGCGCUCGUUGCGCCACUUAAGGCAACACCUCACGGCACGAGCUGACGACAGCCAUGCACCACCUGUGCGGGCCCCGAAGGGCCCCGUGUUUCCACGGGUUUACCCCGCAUGUCAAGCCCAGGUAAGGUUCUUCGCGUCGCGUCGAAUUGAACCACAUGUUCCACCGCUUGUGCGGGCCCCCGUCAAUUCCUUUGAGUUUCAGUCUUGCGACCGUACUCCCCAGGUGCAGGACUUAACGCGUUAGCUCCGGGACGCUCCACGAACGUGAAGCACCCCAAGUCCUGAUCGUUUAGGGCUAGGACUAC